CAUAGGUUAAUGAGGCGAACCGGGGGAACUGAAACAUCUAAGUACCCCGAGGAAAAGAAAUCAACCGAGAUUCCCCCAGUAGCGGCGAGCGAACGGGGAGCAGCCCAGAGCCUGAAUCAGUGUGUGUGUUAGUGGAAGCGUCUGGAAAGGCGCGCGAUACAGGGUGACAGCCCCGUACACAAAAAUGCACAUGCUGUGAGCUCGAUGAGUAGGGCGGGACACGUGGUAUCCUGUCUGAAUAUGGGGGGACCAUCCUCCAAGGCUAAAUACUCCUGACUGACCGAUAGUGAACCAGUACCGUGAGGGAAAGGCGAAAAGAACCCCGGCGAGGGGAGUGAAAAAGAACCUGAAACCGUGUACGUACAAGCAGUGGGAGCACAGAGCAAUCUGUGUGACUGCGUACCUUUUGUAUAAUGGGUCAGCGACUUAUAUUCUGUAGCAAGGUUAACCGAAUAGGGGAGCCGAAGGGAAACCGAGUCUUAACUGGGCGUUAAGUUGCAGGGUAUAGACCCGAAACCCGGUGAUCUAGCCAUGGGCAGGUUGAAGGUUGGGUAACACUAACUGGAGGACCGAACCGACUAAUGUUGAAAAAUUAGCGGAUGACUUGUGGCUGGGGGUGAAAGGCCAAUCAAACCGGGAGAUAGCUGGUUCUCCCCGAAAGCUAUUUAGGUAGCGCCUCGUGAAUUCAUCUCCGGGGGUAGAGCACUGUUUCGGCAAGGGGGUCAUCCCGACUUACCAACCCGAUGCAAACUGCGAAUACCGGAGAAUGUUAUCACGGGAGACACACGGCGGGUGCUAACGUCCGUCGUGAAGAGGGAAACAACCCAGACCGCCAGCUAAGGUCCCAAAGUCAUGGUUAAGUGGGAAACGAUGUGGGAAGGCCCAGACAGCCAGGAUGUUGGCUUAGAAGCAGCCAUCAUUUAAAGAAAGCGUAAUAGCUCACUGGUCGAGUCGGCCUGCGCGGAAGAUGUAACGGGGCUAAACCAUGCACCGAAGCUGCGGCAGCGACGCUUAUGCGUUGUUGGGUAGGGGAGCGUUCUGUAAGCCUGCGAAGGUGUGCUGUGAGGCAUGCUGGAGGUAUCAGAAGUGCGAAUGCUGACAUAAGUAACGAUAAAGCGGGUGAAAAGCCCGCUCGCCGGAAGACCAAGGGUUCCUGUCCAACGUUAAUCGGGGCAGGGUGAGUCGACCCCUAAGGCGAGGCCGAAAGGCGUAGUCGAUGGGAAACAGGUUAAUAUUCCUGUACUUGGUGUUACUGCGAAGGGGGGACGGAGAAGGCUAUGUUGGCCGGGCGACGGUUGUCCCGGUUUAAGCGUGUAGGCUGGUUUUCCAGGCAAAUCCGGAAAAUCAAGGCUGAGGCGUGAUGACGAGGCACUACGGUGCUGAAGCAACAAAUGCCCUGCUUCCAGGAAAAGCCUCUAAGCAUCAGGUAACAUCAAAUCGUACCCCAAACCGACACAGGUGGUCAGGUAGAGAAUACCAAGGCGCUUGAGAGAACUCGGGUGAAGGAACUAGGCAAAAUGGUGCCGUAACUUCGGGAGAAGGCACGCUGAUAUGUAGGUGAAGUCCCUCGCGGAUGGAGCUGAAAUCAGUCGAAGAUACCAGCUGGCUGCAACUGUUUAUUAAAAACACAGCACUGUGCAAACACGAAAGUGGACGUAUACGGUGUGACGCCUGCCCGGUGCCGGAAGGUUAAUUGAUGGGGUCAGCGCAAGCGAAGCUCUUGAUCGAAGCCCCGGUAAACGGCGGCCGUAACUAUAACGGUCCUAAGGUAGCGAAAUUCCUUGUCGGGUAAGUUCCGACCUGCACGAAUGGCGUAAUGAUGGCCAGGCUGUCUCCACCCGAGACUCAGUGAAAUUGAACUC
rnacentral:rRNA from 1 species